GGUGUGGCUCAGUGGUAGAGCAUAUGCUUAGUAUGUAUGAGGUCCUAGGUUCAAUCCACAGCAUC
rnacentral:tRNA from 1 species